UGAAACUUUUGCACAUGUGUAAGUUCAGUACUAAAACAUAUGUUGCUACAUGACAAUGUAAAAGUGCAGAUGUGAAUUAUGGAAUAGAAAGUUGUCUGGAAAAUCAUAGCGAAAAUUUAACAUUACUAUAUAAACAUACCAGGAAAAAAGGGACAGCUGCUAUUUACUGCCUUUAAAUUUUUAAAUGUAUUUCGAAAGCAACAUCAAACAACCGAAGGACCUUAAAAGAUACAGCCAAUUUUUACUUGUCUUCAUUGUUACCUGUUGACAUUUUUGGAGUUUUGGGCUGUUGUAUCCAGCUUUGUAUUCCCAGUGACUGUUACGCAUAGUUUUUGAGUGAUCAUGAAGAGCGUGUGACCUAGAUACUAAUGCGGCAGAGAGUUUUAAACAGUGAAUUAAAGAAUAUUUGAUUACCCUCGGAAAGAAGGGAGAAGAUGGGAUUUCGGGUAAAUAUGGUGAAAGAAAAACAUAACAUGCAGAUAGUCUGAGGAUAUCUGAGAUCAUCAGGAACAUUCUUCCAGUGGAGUUCCUUAAUUUAUAAAUCUCAACUGUAAACCACAAGUAAGACGGUUCUGGAUCAAGAAAUGCUGUAUUAGGACAAGAUUUUGGCUAGGCUCAAGAAAAUAACACUGGUGCAGACUUUGUUCUUGUACAGCUUGGAAUUAGCAGAUAUUCCUGAGAAUCAUGUGUCCUCUCAAGUGAUGACUACAUAGGAAAACUGAUACCAUUGAUUCUGCUACCAUCUUCCAUAAAACCAAAAAAUAGUCUUCAUAAUGUAUGGCAGUUCCUCAUUAUUGUAUUGCAACAGACACUCCCUGUAGAUCAGAAAAACAGGCUGAGAAGGCUCAAAUUUAAUGGGUGAUAUUGGAGAGAAUUGUAACCAGGCAUGUGGACUGUUUUCAUUGUUGCUAUUGGACUGAAUCUCAGGAGCUUGAAUGAUGGAGACAUUGUUAUGCUCAGGACCUUGUAAUGUCAAAGCUUCGUAUCGUUGCCCCCAAAAGUAUUACUGCGUAUAUUUAAAAUUUCCAUUUAUCACAGGGAAAUUUAAAAUUGAUGCAUAAAAAAUCACAAUUUUCAAGAUUUCAAAGGAUAUGGAAAAUUUUAAGUAUAACAUUUUACUUCUUAAAUGCUGUUUUUCCUCCUCUGAUUCUGCCACCUCUGUCUAUGUUAUCUACUUAUUGAUGAAAUUUUGUGCAUAUCUUAUGGGUUUAUUGAUCAGUUAACACUCAUGGCAUUUUGGGGGAUCUGUAUAUACUAGCCACAGAUUUUUCUAUGCAGUAAGCAUUGUUUAUAUAUGAAUUGUAAAUUUAUCCAACUAAUUUGUUGAAAUAAUUCCAAUGAAACUAUGAAGACUAAGGAUACCCCAAAUUUAUAGUUUCAAGUCCAAAGUAAAAUAGAUUUUCCUCUAUUAUAUAGACAGGAUUUCAUCAAUCUUAUCUACAAGUGUUUAUAUGGAUAUAUUUCCUAAAACUGUAUAAAUGUUACAUUUUUAUUCUUCGGCAAUAUGAUGUUACCAAGAAAUUGCCUUUUCUUCUGUUACUGUUGAGCCUGUCAUUUUCAUAUAUGCUUAGUCCUUACCAGUCACUUGCAUUAUUUCAUUUUGCUCUGUUUUUUUUUUCUUUUCAUUUU